CCAAGAUGGAUAGUUGAGAAGCCCGGGUAUCUGCUCAGUAUUGACAGCGCUGGAGCACUCAAGGCUUCCUUCCUACUGUACGCCAACGCCAUCUGACUGCGUGUCUCUCCCCUCUCUGUCUAGGGGUUCCUCUGGCUCUAGACCCCUUUUUGCUGAUGCAGAGGAUGGACUCGAAAAUGGAGUGGACCUCAAUCAAUCUAAGAUAGGUUUCUCACUGGGAGGUAGGACAACAGUCAAGGGCAUCCCACAGACUCAGCUUUGAGUUUUAGUUACCUACAGCAGUGACUUCUCUCUAAGGAACGUUGUGGGUUGCUGGUUUCCUUCCUCCUUCCCUCCCCUCUUCCCUCUCCCCCUCCCCCCUUUUCCCUCCUUCCUCCUUCUCAGUCCUCUUUUCCCUACCCACUUCCUUUCUCUCUUCACUCCUGGUGCUACUGGAAUCACAUCCCAGAGAGACCCUAGUACUUGCCCCCAAUCCUAUGUCCAAGCUUAGCUUCUUAGAACUCAACCCAAGUUGAAUACCUCUCCCAUAUGUUCUUCCUAAAGCAAGGGAGGGCAGUCAACUUGAAGAAUGAAAAGGCCACAUCAGAUUUCCCCUAGAAGAGAAGUUAUUUUAGUAAUAAAAGUGUUUUGAGUUAUCUAGUUCAUUUUCUAUGCAAUAGUUUAGGAUCAGAUAUCUUACUGGAUGAGACAGAAGUAGCCAUAAGUAGAAUCAUAUAUCAUGUGUGAAAGUUUUAUCCACAGAUUCAUAGCAAACACAAAGAACUCCCUUCAUGUGAUGCUGGGGGCCAGUAAUUAAAAUCACUUCUAUUGAAAAGUGAGUUAGAAGUCACUUAGGAGGGAGGUGGGGUGGAGCUCAGUGGUCAGGCACGUGCUUAGCACGCAAUAAGGUUCUGGGUUUGAUCCCCAGCAUCACAUGAAAAAGAAGUAAUAUAGAGGGCUUUUUAUGCAGCGUCCAGCGAGAUGGAGGACAAGCAUAUCUUGGACAACAUGACCUCACGAGAUCUGUGUGCCUUUCAGCAAAUUUCUCAGGACACAAACUGGCCACUAUUGCAACAUGUUGUGUGAAAUGAUAUAUUGUCUCAUUUUCCUGUGAGCCAUCAUUAUGAACAAGUCAUCUAAGGUCCACAUAAUUAUAGCUCCCUAAGGCCAUCCCUAGCUCUAGAACCUUCUCCUACCUAAUCUGGUUACCUUCGCCUUUGCUGUUUUGAAAUUCCCAGUGGCGGUGGCAGCCAUUAGUGCUAGUCAUCAAGCCCUGCUUUGCAGAGAUAGGGCCGUUCCCAGCCCCUUCAGAUGGAGUCCUGUGGUUGUUUGGCCCCAGGGAGAUGUGAGUAGAAGUUGUGUUCCUGUCUCUUUCUGGUGGAAGCUUUGAGAGCCAUGUGGUUUUCCCAUGUUCCCUUUCCAGCUGUCGCAGCUGAUGCAUCCUAGGUGCCAGGGCACUAUAAUUUGGAUCUAGAAUGUCCCCCAGAGGCUUGGUGAACAGAGGGUGGC
rnacentral:lncRNA from 1 species